GGCACAGCAGGUGGGCGGUUUGCACGGUCAAGUCGCACAUGUUUUGUCUUUUCAGGAACGCCACUGGCAUUUCUCGGCAGGAGUGAGACUGGCUAAUGCCGGCGACGUAACUGCACCGCGACUCAGCUGGGUAGCGCCGCCCGUGCGUGGAAAGAUCCGCCCGGCAGGUCCGCAGCGGUGGCCACCUCACCCCCCCUCCUCACGGCGUAGCUGGGUGCCGCUGGAGGCAGUGGGACGAUUGGUGGUCUCUCGAGCAUGACCGCGGGUGUUCGCUGGGGAACUCUGAAGGACUCGGGCGGAAUUGUAACGAUCUACGGGCAAGUCAAUGAUUUUCGCCCAGAUUUAGUUAGCCGUGCCAAGCUUAGUUUGGUUUGGUUGCAGAGAUCCAGCGCAGAAACGGGCCCUUCGGCCCAGCGAGUCCUCGCCGACCAUCGAUCACCCAUUCACACUAGCUCCACGUUAUCCCACUUUCCCAUCCACUCCCUACAUACUAGUGGGCAAUUUUCACAAAGGGUCAACUAACCUGCAAGCCCGCACGUCUUUGUGGGAUGUGACGGGAGACCAGAGCACCCGGGGGAAACCCACGCUGUCGCUGGGAGAACGUGUAAACUCCACACACGGACAGCACCCCAGGUCACCCCAGGUCAGGGUUGAUCCCGGGUCUCUUUGCGCCAAUCUGCCGCCCUGAAGCUGGGCUUAAAAUGCAUCGUGUCGAUUUUUGAAAAAGGGUAGCAGGCAGCAAACCAACCCUUGUAACCAUUCCUUCACCGUAAGACAUAUUCUUAAUUUUGAAUGGCUCUGUCUUAGUCGUUUUGAGGCAUAGAGUGAUACAGUGUGGAAACAGGCCCUUUGGCCCAACUUGCCCACACCAACCCACAUGUCCC